UGCGUAUGUAUUUGGUUGCUCCGCAAACGUAAACCACUGUUUGGUCAUUUCGGAGCAGGGUGGUGUGUUUGGUGGUUAAUAAGCAGGGCGAUCUCUUCUACCUCUGCCGAUAACCACGCCGAUCGCCCGAGUAACCGUCACACGACUUAGUGGACAGGCUACUCAAGUAGGUCCGUAUACAACGGUCGAGACUCGAGCCGGAGUUACGGUUUUUCUAGUUUCUACUAGAGCUCAAGUGCGUUCCCGACGACGCACUUCGGGUCUCUUCUCUACAAUCUCUGUUGGGGCCGCACGUCCCCGAACACGUUGUCGAGUCACGGUUCCGACUGCAGCGACUCCUACGGGACCUACUCGAGGUGAUGAAGUAGUAGGUCCUGGUCGAACUACCGUGGUUCAUACGGCUCGGCCUAGACCCACUAUCGGAGGAGCCAGUACGAGCGGUACCAGCGGUACGACAAGCGAUGUGAUAGCCAUUGACCGAAUUAACGAAAAGAACAAGCGGAUACCUUCUACUACCACGACGAUCAUGACUACAAUGGUGUUUUAGUGUGUUGUGACGGUUAGAACUAUCAUCACCACUACCAAGUGAUCUAUUCAACGGUGAGUUGUCUCAACGGUACAGAUUCUUUUAAUUCAGUCACUAUCUCCUUUAUGUGAGGGAUACACUAGGGUAUAGGUUCAACGAGUACCAUUGAGGUGUGGCUUCGUUGUCACGUUAACAGUUGGAAUUAGCCGGAGCCUGCCGCAGUCGUAACCUUGUUCUACUAUUUAAUAUACCUUCCUCACUGUAAAAACUCGUUUGAUAUUUUCUAUAGUGCUCACCGUGUAUAGUGUCACUAUAUGAAAGACAAGAAGGAUAUCAACCAGGACCCCCAUAACCUUUCUGUUGAAAGUGAGUUGUGGACAUAUUACUAUUUUCUCAACUUCUUGUGAAGUACCAAUCCCAAACCCAUACACACAGUUGAUUAAAACUACACGAAUUGGAGUUGGUCGUCUAGGUAUCGACGUAUGGACAUUGACUUUUUCUUCUUUGGUUGUAACGGUUACCUUGUUGGUUAAAUCUGGUCGAAGUCUUUAGGUAAUGUUUAUCCAACUUCAGGUUUUCUAAAAAUUAACAGAACCUACUAUAUACCUUUACACUCUCACUACGGCUCACCUUUUGGGAUAAUUGUGGCAAGUGUUUCCCUCUUCGGUUUCCGUCACACCAAGAACAGUGUUGAGCUAAAGGUUUUUAUCUUCUUUCCCAGUUCUUUCCUUGAUCAGGUAAUUUGUACGUUCCAAACCUAGGUGUACUCAAGAAACUAAAAAAGGUUCGUACACAUAAACCUCUUUUGUUUGGGCUAGUUGUUAAUUAACUAUAACCUUCUCUCUAACGUCUCUUUAAUUUCACAAGUGGUGAUCGUCCGUUUUGUCAACGAGCCAAUAAUGUCUUUCUCGAAAGAAACCUUGUAACCUCCCUUCAAGAACUUUUGUUACUCACCUCUUUAGUUUGUUUGUUACUGGUAUAAUACGGUCGGGAUUUUUAAUCGAUACUAAUGGAAGGAAAGGUGGAGUUUUUUACAAAAAGUAUAAAAAGGGAAAAAGGCCUUCUAGUAUCCAAAUUUCAAUAUCUGUACUUAGCGAAAACCUGGCGUGAUCCGUAGUAUUUGCGAUCAAUAUUUUUAUUCUUAAUGGAUCUUCUUGAUCACCUCUUACCAAAAGAAUACUUCCUUCAACUGCUAAACUUCCUAGUUACGAUACAUUAUGUACUAAAUAACGUGCUUGAUAGAGCCUCGCAAAGUAGGGUUCUUACAUGAUUAUAUUCAUCAUAUUCUAAAUCACGGCUACUCUAGAGUGUCAGUCAAGCUGUGAAUCGAUAGUGCUAUCUUUUAUUUAUACUACUCUCGAAAUCCGUUCUUUACCGAUUUAACUUCUCGUCCUAUGCGUAUUCUCUGAACGCCUGAAACUACCAAAAAUCUUAUAUGCUUCUUUCUUAUCAACUCUAAGAUUUACUGUGUAAGUCACUUUAUCUCCCAUAAGCUCAGGAUAAAUAUCGGUACCUCAGGUGUCUUAGAAACGGUUUUUGAAAGAGUUUUGAAGACGUGGAAGCCAUGGAUUUUUAAUCUAGCGCAAUAUUAGCGUGUUAUUCAGAUGGAUCAUGUGACGGUUCCAAAAUGGUGAACUAUAAGAAUCUAGAUUUUUUAACCGUCCCUUCGAGACUAAACGGUUUUAUGAAAUUGGCAGAACACUUAAAUGCGGUAAAGUAACGAAAAGGACUUGAGGUGAGGUUUCAAGGACUCCAACCUUUCUAUCUCGUAGAUCUCCUCGAUAAUAGUAAGUAACAGUUUUUCCUCUUAUAACCCAAACUCGACCUUCUCAACCCCUUUAACUUUCUUGAACCUCCUCUUGAGUUCUAUAUAUUAGAACUGUUCCACCGUUGGUUCCUACUUCGAUUAUUUCGCUUAGACCGUGACUUUUCCUUAGACUUUCAUAACAGUGAUCAAAGCCCAGGUCUUCCAAGUUUGGUCAAAUGGUCCGGCGAACGGUUAAAUCUACUACUACAAUAACUACCAGAGGUUGGCGUACUUUUGGAGUCUCUCGAACGGUAAUGUUUUGUACCACCAAGAUCAGGAGGGUCAACCAAAAAAGUACUGUAUGGGUAAUCUAUAAACCUCAGAGAAUGAGACUCCCUGCACAGAACCACGUGAGAAGGUGGAAAAGCCGUCAAUGGCAUAGAGUUCUAUGAUCUUAACUCAUCUUAACGGUUGCACGUAGAAUAUCCUGGACUAAGACCAUGGCCAUUUUGGGUUUCAAAGUACGUAAACUUCCUUCAACAGUAAAGACUGUACGGUGAAGAACUUUCCACCUAACACCUUGGUUUGACGGUAAACAAAGGCCACGAACUUUCGUAGCUAACGUCUUUAACAGGGUUAGAGGAAAGUGACGGGAAAAAGGGUCUCACGAUACAGAGAACACGUGCUCCGUAUGUAACACGGUCGGACGUACGUGAUUUCUAAUAACUGACAGGAUUCGAAAACCACAGGGGGUACGGUGGACGAGGACGUGAUUGUAGGUAACUUAAUCAACUAUGAGUAGCCAGACACUGUAACCCUUUCACCCUUUACUUCUACUCACCGAUGUCACCACGUGAUCGGAAGGUCUUAUACCAUUUAAAUGUAUCCAAUAACACACUUCCACCCAGUUAUUGGAAUACCAGUAUGGAGGUUUUCCAUUGGAGGGGGUACCUCGAAUGAUAAGGACUUCCGAGCCCGUAUUUCAAACACACAAAGCGGCCGACGUUCUAAAAUUGUCACCCACCCCAGUCAAGAGAGUAGUGUAGACAGUCGGAUUUCUCCAACACCCGGUUACCACCACCCCUAGGAGGGUUGAGACGUUGGUACUUAGACGAGAGUCUCCACCGUUCUUCUUGGUUUCUUAACGGACGGCCUAGGAAGGUUAACCUCCUUGAGCCACACCUAUCGUAGAGUCGCCACGAACAGCGAGGGCAUACGUCAGUGGAGCGACGAUGGGAGGUGCUUAAUUUGUAGGCCGUACUCGUAGCCUACUUUCCGAACUGUCUUCUCCUUCUCUUUCGUGAAGUCGAGGAGUGGAGGGAGGUUUGGGAUUCUAAAGUCAUGACAGGUAAAGACGGCACGGAGGGAGUUCCCAAUGUGUGGGAAAGAAGAGAGUCCCAUGAUGUUCAUCAUGAAACGGGAUUCUAGGCGAGCGACGGAUACCCCCCGGAGGGGUGAAGUGAUGUCUUAUAUACCCAUUGGCUGACGUCGCGGUUCGAUGUGCUCGUUCAGUUCUUUAAUCUCCCUUACUUGGGUCCUAACAGCCACAGUAGGAUACUUAGUAGCUAACUCCUCCGUGUUGAUGCGGCUUUAACCAUGGGGCAGCUUGGUUACACUACCCACCAACAAUUGUACACAGCACGUAUUUAGCCGAUGUCUGUACUUCGUUACGAGGUUGAUGAGAGUAGGGCUGCCGUCCGAGAGAUGUAUUCAACACUGAGGCGAAAUUAUUUUUUUCGUCUCGUGGACGGUAACUGGGAAGUUUUUUUUCGGGUGAGAAGACUUCAACUGUGACGGGACGUCGUACGUGAGGUUUAGGUAGACGGCCGAAAUGAGAAGACUUCACGCAUGUAUUGAACGUGCUCGGGAAAACCGGAUGAGAAAACUUCUACUGUGAAGGGGUGUGUGGUUUAGGUACACGACCUGCAGUCAUGUACCUUUUUGGUGUGGUUUAGGUACACGACCUGCAGUUAUAUACUAAAGCAAAGUAAGUGUCACGUUUUGGUGAAACCGAUAUCAAAACCGUCGAGAGUUGGCCGCACAGAGUACAGACCGCAAUGACCAUUGACGUACCAUACCUUUAAAACUCCACCGGCAGGGCACAGACGGGAGGGAAGGAGUUUCCAGUGUGCCGGAAAAGAGGAGAGCUCACAGGUAGACAGCUAAUAACAGGUGCUUGGGCCGGCGACGGGUUCCCGCCGGAGGGGUGAAGAGACGCUGUGGAUUGGCACUCGUCUACGUUCAGUUCCUCGAUGCUCCUAGUUUGGGUGACAAUGCCCAAAUGUGGACUCACACAUAUAUUCACCACGUAGAAAAGUCGGAACAUAACGUGUCUCCACACUGAUACAUAAACGUAGACGUAAAGACCUCCACGUUCGGUCUAGACGACCAAAAAACUCCCCAGAUUAACGGUGGUAAGAAAACUCUACGAAACUUCGUAACUCACGUCGUUAGCCAGACGACCAAUCAUAGCCGAGGAGCUAAAUACUAAAGAAUGAUCAAGUGUCAUUCAUGUUUAACUUGUUGGUGAAGGAGACUUCGUGUAAGAGCCGGCACACACGAAGAAGGGGUGAACCAAUUAAAUGAGUAUGUAUGCUCAGCUGGUGGCAACAUAUAUUAAAAGUAUGUUGGAAAAAAAAGGUAUGUAUAAACCGUCGAGUAACCACUCAGUGUACAUCAGUACAAUGUCGCGUACCCGAUGAUGACCAUAAAACUUAACCGCGCAGCGCGGGUCAAGACGUUCUAAUCGUCGACUUACGCACCAUUCAUGACAUACACUUGAGGCUUCUGGUUUCGCUUGUGUGGAGUACCUGCCUGCAACGAUCUACCUCCUAGUACAUGGCAUCUUCACGACACGACAAGAAGUAGUCUGACUUGCGAUGUCCGCACUUCUUACGACUAGCUCUACCGUAACAACAGUAGCUGACGUUCGACAAGUUCUAACAGUCCUAGAGUGGUAAUAAUAGCUCAAAGCAGUCCGAAGGCAGAGUAUGUUCGUUGCCCGUAUCAUCCCUCUAGCGCGCCAGCUCUACGAUAGCAUGGUUAGGUUACAGCGGAUACAUUAAAAAGUAAAAAUCGAAACUAAUCACGUAUGUACGUUAGUUACAUUAAUGUAUAACUUGAGCACCGAGCCCUGAACCUAUAUUUCGGGCUCUCACCCACCUACCCACCGUGCUCAUAUAUACUUUG
rnacentral:rRNA from 1 species